rnacentral:rRNA from 1 species
UACGUAGGGGGCAAGCGUUGUCCGGAUUUAUUGGGCGUAAAGAGCGUGUAGGCGGCCAGACAGGUCCGUUGUGAAAACUCGAGGCUCAACCUCGAGACGCCGAUGGAAACCGUCUGGCUAGAGUCCGGAAGAGGAGAGUGGAAUUCCUGGUGUAGCGGUGAAAUGCGUAGAUAUCAGGAGGAACACCGGUGGUGUAGACGGCUCUCUGGACCGUAACUGACGCUGAGACACGAAAGCGUGGGUAGCAAACAGG